rnacentral:rRNA from 1 species
UAGGGAAUAUUGCUCAAUGGGGGAAACCCUGAAGCAGCAACGCCGCGUGGAGGAUGAAGGUUUUCGGAUUGUAAACUCCUUUUGUUAGAGAAGAUAAUGACGGUAUCUAACGAAUAAGCACCGGCUAACUCCGUGCCC